AGUGAACGCUGGCGGUAGGCCUAACACAUGCAAGUCGAACGGCAGCACAGUAAGAGCUUGCUCUUACGGGUGGCGAGUGGCGGACGGGUGAGGAGUACAUCGGAAUCUACUUUUUCGUGGGGGAUAACGGAGGGAAACUUACGCUACUACCGCAUACGUCCUACGGGUGAAAGCAGGAGAUCUUCGGACCUUGCGCGAUUGAAUGAGACGAUGUCGGAUUAGCUAGUUGGCGGGGUAAAGGCACACCAAGGCGACGAUCCGUAGCUGGUCUGAGAGGAUGAUCAGCCACACUGGAACUGAGACACGGUCCAGACUCCUACGGGAGGCAGCAGUGGGGAAUAUUGGACAAUGGGCGCAAGCCUGAUCCAGCCAUACCGCGUGGGUGAAGAAGGCCUUCGGGUUGUAAAGCCCUUUUGUUGGGAAAGAAAAGCAGCAGGUUAAUACCCCGCUGUUCUGACGGUACCCAAAGAAUAAGCACCGGCUAACUUCGUG
rnacentral:rRNA from 1 species